rnacentral:rRNA from 1 species
GAUUUCUGGCUUGAAACAUUUAGCCGGCCACGGUUUCGUGUGUUAGUGUUAGAUGUUCUGGCCAUCCUUCCAAUUGCUAUUCAUCUUUCUUCAUUGAUGGGUGAGUGGUAUUGGAUCUUUUACUUUGAAAAAAUUAGAGUGUUUCAAGCAGGCUUAAUGCUAUGAAUACAUUAGCAUGGAAUAAUAAUUUAGGACUUCGGUUCUAUUUUGUUGGUUUCUAGGACUGAAGUAAUGAUUGAUAGGGAUAGUUGGGGGUGCUAGUAUUCAGCGGCCAGAGGUGAAAUUCUCGGAUUCGCUGAAGACUAACUUAUGCGAAAGCAUU